rnacentral:rRNA from 1 species
UGGUUUUGAUUUGAAAGGCGCUUUCGGGUGUCGCUGAUGGAUGGACCCGCGGUGCAUUAGCUAGUUGGUGAGGUAACGGCUCACCAAGGCCACGAUGCAUAGCCGACCUGAGAGGGUGAUCGGCCACAUUGGGACUGAGACACGGCCCAAACUCCUACGGGAGGCAGCAGUAGGGAAUCUUCGGCAAUGGACGAAAGUCUGACCGAGCAACGCCGCGUGAGUGAAGAAGGUUUUCGGAUCGUAAAACUCUGUUGUUAGAGAAGAACAAGGAUGAGAGUAACUGUUCAUCCCUUGACGGUAUCUAACCAGAAAGCCACGGCUAACUACGUGCCAGCAGCCGCGGUAAUACGUAGGUGGCAAGCGUUGUCCGGAUUUAUUGGGCGUAAAGCGAGCGCAGGCGGUUUCUUAAGUCUGAUGUGAAAGCCCCCGGCUCAACCGGGGAGGGUCAUUGGAAACUGGGAGACUUGAGUGCAGAAGAGGAGAGUGGAAUUCCAUGUGUAGCGGUGAAAUGCGUAGAUAUAUGGAGGAACACCAGUGGCGAAGGCGGCUCUCUGGUCUGUAACUGACGCUGAGGCUCGAAAGCGUGGGGAGCAAACAGGAUUAGAUACCCUGGUAGUCCACGCCGUAAACGAUGAGUGCUAAGUGUUGGAGGGUUUCCGCCCUUCAGUGCUGCAGCUAACGCAUUAAGCACUCCGCCUGGGGAGUACGACCGCAAGGUUGAAACUCAAAGGAAUUGACGGGGGCCCGCACAAGCGGUGGAGCAUGUGGUUUAAUUCGAAGCAACGCGAAGAACCUUACCAGGUCUUGACAUCCUUUGACCACUCUAGAGAUAGAGCUUCCCCUUCGGGGG